AUGGCGACGGCGCCGCUCGGCGUGAGGCUCCUCGUCGGCGCCGAGGCGCCGACGCCCCUCCAAGAUUCAGCCGAGGACGCCGCGGCCUUCCUCGCCCUGCCGGUCAGCCUGCUCGGGAAGGAGUGCCUGAUGGACAGCGCCGGCAACCUCUACGCCAGGGUCGAGGCCCUGCCCCGCGCGGGCGCGGCCGAGGACGCCCUCCUCCGAGCGCCGGCGGGCGCGGUCGUCGUCGGCUCCGCCCAGCGCCUGCUCGCCCUCGCCGGCGCAAUGAGAGUGGCGGAGCGGCUGGCCGGCCGGACGGCCCCCACGGACCGCGCCGAGCCGAGCACCGCGGCCGACAUGGACAUCGACUCCGGCGGCGACGCCGUCUCCUCGAGCCAUUCGGGAAGGGAUCCGGGCGCCAAAAGGAGGCGCGGCGGCGGCGGCGACGACGCGCACGGCGUGCUCCAGAGGCCAGCGAAGCGCCGGAUCCUCGCGUGGAGGGUGCGCCGGUACCGGUCCCUGGUGGCCAAGGCCAAGGCGACGGCGAGGAGGGCCAGGAUCCGGGCGGUGAAGCGGAGGGCGCCCGCUUGGAAGUGCGUCCAACGGCAGCUCGCGCGCGCCACCUUGAGCUGCGACGGCCUGCACAGAUGGAGCCCCGGCGGCGGCGGCGGAGGAGGAGGAGGAGGAGGAGCUGCGUAG
rnacentral:rRNA from 1 species